rnacentral:rRNA from 1 species
CAGCCGCCGCGGUAACACGAAGGGUGCAAGCGUUAAUCGGAAUCACUGGGCGUAAAGCGUGCGUAGGCGGUGAGUUAAGUCUGCUGUGAAAUCCCCGGGCUCAACCUGGGAAUGGCAGUGGAUACUGGGUCACUAGAGUGUGGUAGAGGAUAGUGGAAUUUCCGGUGUAGCAGUGAAAUGCGUAGAGAUCGGAAGGAACAUCUGUGGCGAAGGCGACUAUCUGGGCCAACACUGACACUGAGACACGAAAGCGUGGGGAGCAAACAGGAUUAGAUACCCCAGUAGUCCCUGUCUCUUAUAC